rnacentral:rRNA from 1 species
GUCUAUGGCCAUGCCAUGCUGAACAAGCCCUAUCCCAUAUGAUCUCGGAAGCUAAGCAGGGUCAGGCCUGGUUAGUACUCAGAUGAGAGACCAUCUAAGAAGACCAGGUGCUGUAGGCA